rnacentral:rRNA from 1 species
AGAUUGAACGCUGGCGGCAGGCCUAACACAUGCAAGUCGAGCGGUAGAGAGGUGCUUGCAUCUCUUGAGAGCGGCGGACGGGUGAGUAAUGCCUAGGAAUCUGCCUAGUGGUGGGGGAUAACGUUCGGAAACGGACGCUAAUACCGCAUACGUCCUACGGGAGAAAGCGGGGGACCUUCGGGCCUCGCGCCAUUAGAUGAGCCUAGGUCGGAUUAGCUAGUUGGUGAGGUAAUGGCUCACCAAGGCGACGAUCCGUAACUGGUCUGAGAGGAUGAUCAGUCACACUGGAACUGAGACACGGUCCAGACUCCUACGGGGAGGCAGCAAGGUGGGG